AACUCCCUGAGUACUGCUCCCCUACAAGGAAGGAAGCUGAUCCAAAGGGACAAAAUGGGUCUGCAGUUGGAAACUCAGACACCAGACCAAGGCUGGGAGCUGUCUUCUUAGACUGGAAACAGACCCUUCACGCCCAAGAAAGAAGUUUGCUUUACAGCGCUGUGGAGGGGUUCACUCACUGAGCAGUCCCAGGAUCAAGCUCAGGUUGCCUGUGAGGCUAUAGAGAGUUUACUAGCUGAGCCAUCUUACAGUCCCAAAGGACUGCAUUCUUAGAGCAUUAAUGGACUAAGACCAGCAGACACAAAAUCUGCAGUCAAGUUCUUUCACUCAUUCAUUCAUUUUGAAAAAAGAAGUCAGAGUGUUGGCUUGGUGGUUCAGUGGUUAAGGAUGCUGGCUGCUCUUCCAGAGACCCCAGGUACCAGGCAUCCAUGUGUUACACAGACAAACGUGCAGCAAAAUACCCAUC